GACGAACGCUGGCGGUGUGCCUCAUACAUGCAAGUCGAACGAUAAGGUUCCUUCGGGAAUACAUAAGUGGCGGACGGGUGAGUACAAUGUAGGAAAUCUGCCUUAGGGUGGGGGACAACAGAGGGAAACUCCUGCUAAUACCGCAUAAUGCAUUUAGGGGGCAUCCCCUGAAUGCCAAAGCUUUAUGUGCUGAAAGAUGGUCUCGCGUCUGAUUAGCUAGUUGGUGGGGUAACGGCCCACCAAGGCGACGAUCAGUAGCCGGUCUGAGAGGAUGGACGGCCACAUUGGGACUGAGAUACGGCCCAG
rnacentral:rRNA from 1 species